ensembl:lncRNA
CGGCGGCGCCGCGGGGCUGGAGCAGAGCAGUAAGCGCCUCUCCCUUCCCGGUGUUCCUGGGCCGGGCUCGGCAGGGCCUUGUGCUGUGUUUUGUGCAGCGUGGGUUUUAUUUCUUUGUUUUCGUGACAAUUUGAGAAGUGACAGCAGGGAUACCGCUCAGGAGCCUUAUCCUCGGGAGAAGGAUCCUAAAAAAAAAAAAACCUGAAGUCUAAACUUUGUGCAGCUUGAGCGUCUUCCCCGCAGUCUGAAGGGAAAAUCCAGUCUGAAAACCUUACCAAAAAUUAAAGAAAAGCUUGAAGCGACCCAAGCGACCCAUUCAUCCAAUCAAAGCACUCUAGUGCAUGUCAAAGAGGUGACCAACAUAGAAGAAACUGAAGAGAAAACAGGAGAAAGCACUGUACUGCUGAAGGAAUCUUCAGUAAUCAACUUUGAAAGUAAAGAAAGUUUGAAAAAUGCUGAAGUGACUUCAAGUACAGAAUUGACUCUUCCCACAGGUGUUUCAACCUUUCUACUAGAGUGUUUAGAUGUAGAUUCCACUGCAGACUAUAACACAGGCUCUAAUGACAGCAUGAACAAUUGCUCAUCCCCUGAAACAUUCAGAGAUGAAGAUAUUUCAGAUAGAAGUAACCUUUUCUCUGAGGACUGUGUCAAAUAUAAGAACUCAACUCUCCUGGACUCCAGCAAAGCAAUGACCAUAGACAAGAUGCCACAGAUCUCAAAUCUGUCAGCAAUAUUAGAACCUAUGCUGGAGGAUUUUCAAGACCAAUACACUAGAAGAAAUAAACCAUCAAAAUGCAAUUACAGUUCUUCAGCAUUAAAUGUUUCAACUACUCUAGCAGGUAAAAUAUGA